UACGGAGGGUGCAAGCGUUAUCCGGAUUCACUGGGUUUAAAGGGUGCGUAGGUGGGUCUGUAAGUCAGUGGUGAAAUCUCCGGGCUUAACUCGGAAACUGCCAUUGAUACUAUAGGUCUUGAAUUAUCUGGAGGUAAGCGGAAUAUGUCAUGUAGCGGUGAAAUGCUUAGAUAUGACAUAGAACACCAAUUGCGGAGGCAGCUUACUACGGAUACAUUGACACUGAGGCACGAAAGCGUGGGGAUCAAACAGG
rnacentral:rRNA from 1 species